GGGAGAGGCCAAUGAAAGGAUGCGGGCGAACAUCUUCAACAUGAGAUAGUAUAAUCUUUUCUCUCUUUAUGCCUUAACGUAGCACAAAUGAGGAGGCCAUUUGGGCAAUACCUUUCUUCUUUUGAGUUGGAUGGCCAAAAUCCAAUAGAUAUAAUUUGUGAAAAUCAAUGAUAUCGAUCGCCACCGACCAAUGGAAAAACCCAUCAAGAAAAGAGGCCAAAAAGGACGAGUGCAAUAGACAGAGAGGAAAGAAGAGAAGUAGAGGGUUAAUAUUGAAGCUGCUCGCUCACAAGUAAGGAACACAGAGGAAAAGCUACCUGCUUCACACAAAGAAGCAAAUAUCUGCUAAAAAUGGCGGAGGGCGCUGUCUCAUUUCUUAUAGGAAAAUUGGGUUCUCUGAUAUCACAGGAAGCUGAUUUUCUUGGUGGAGUGAAAACGCAAAUCCUGUCUCUGCACGAUGAACUUGAGUGGAUUAACUCCUUCCUAAGAGAUGCUGAUGAAAAGCGCAGAAGCAACCGGAGGGUGAACUUGUGGGUGAGCCAAGUGAAAAACCUAGCUUUCGAUGCUGAGGAAAUCAUUGAUUUGUACAUGCUUCAAAUCGUGCGACAACGGCAAAGAAAUAUAGUGAAGAGGUUUAUGGGUUCUCGCAAAUAUCUUUUUACUCUACACAAGUUUGGAAAUCAAGUGGAGGACAUCAAAAGAAGGAUUGGAGAGAUUUCGGCUAACAGAUCCAAGUACGGGAUUGAAACUCUUGAAACUGGAGAGACUUCAACUCGUUUGGAUGAUUGCUUAGCACGAAAGAGAAGGAGAGAUAACAUGGAAGAGGAAGUUGACGUUGUUGGCUUUGAGAAAGAUAUUGAGAAACUAGCGACGCUUCUGAAGCAAGAAGAGUCCGAUCGGCAACUUCUCGUUGUUUCCAUAGUGGGUAUGGGUGGUUUAGGCAAGACCACCCUUGCUAAGAAAGUUUAUGAUAGGAGUGAUGUCAAGAACACUUUCGAUUCUUGUGCAUGGAUUUAUGUCUCUCAAGAAUACAGAAUAAAAGAUCUUCUCUCUGGGGCCAUAGCACAACUAAUGAUGCGCACGAAGGAGGAGUUAGAAAAGAAGAAUGAAGAAGAUUUGAAGAAUUUGCUCUCUAAUUACUUGAAAGAACGGAGAUGUCUGCUUGUAUUCGAUGAUGUAUGGAGGAAAGAAGAUUGGGACACAUUAAAGUUAGCAUUUCUACCACAUCGGGAUGAAAGGAAGCAACAACGAGUGUUGGUUACCACCCGUAUUAUGGAAGUAGCCAAACAUACUGAUCCAUUAAUUGCUCCAUAUGAACUCAGACUUCUGGGUGAUAAGGAGAGUUUUGAACUCUUCUCAAAGAAGGUCUUUCAAUACGAAGCAAGAAUUGAGGAAAGAAGCUACUCCAAAGAUUUGGAAGAUGUUGGAAGGAAAUUGGUUGCUAGGUGCGGUGGAUUACCACUUGCGAUUGUGGUAUUAGGAGGUCUCUUAUCGACAAAGGAGCGAACACUUAGCGUGUGGAACAAAGUAGUUGAAAGCGUGAAUUGGCAACUUAAUGAAGGGCCACAGCAAUGCAUGGACAUAUUAGCUCUGAGUUAUACAGACUUACCGUAUUACUUGCAAUCUUGUUUUCUCUAUUUUGGUCUUUACCCAGAAGACUAUGAGAUCUCUUCUGAAAAAUUGAUUCGAUUAUGGGUUGCAGAGGGGUUUAUACUACAGAGAGGAGAGGAAACUAUGGAAGAUACUGCUGAGGAGUACCUAGAAGAGUUGAUCGAUAGGAGCAUGAUCCAAGCAGCAAGUAGGAGACCAGAUGGAGGUGUUGAAAAAUGUCGUAUCCAUGAUCUCUUGCGGGACUUGGCAGUUUCAGAAGCCAAGAAAGAUAAGCUUCUUGAAAUAUAUGGGACUAGUAACUGUUCCGCUAGUUCUCUAAGCAGAUUUCGUCGGCUUGUGAUCCAUCCAAACAACAAUGGUAUGCACCCUAUAUCGAGUUCCACUCUUCACCAUCUUCAUUCCUUCUUGUGCUUCAGUAAAAUCCUCGAAAAAAAUGAGUGGAAGGGUCUUUAUGUGGGGUUCAAUCUGCUUAGAGUAUUAGAUUUACAGUAUGUGACAACUCUUAAGGAUUUACCCAAGGAAAUUGGAGGCCUCGUCCUUCUAAAGUACUUGAACUUGUGUAGAACCAGACUACGAAGAAUUCCACACUCAAUGGGAAACCUCUGCAAUCUACAAACUUUAGAUCUAUCCGACACAUACAUCAGACACAUACCCAAGGAAAUAUGGAGAAUGCAACAACUAAGACAUCUUUCUAUUUCCGGCAUAUAUCAUCCUCCAAAUUUAGUUGAAUGCAUAGAAAAGGUUGUCACUAAGAUUGGUCGAAGUUGUUGUCGUCGUCCACCCAGAGUAGAUAAUCUGAGGGACCUCCAGACGCUACAUCUACCUGCAGGCAGUUGGAUAGAAGGUGGUCUUAACAAGUUGACAAAUCUGAGAGAACUCCAGAUAGAGGGAAAGUUGAGUUUGUAUACGAGGGCAUUAACCAACUCUAUUGACAAAUUGAAAAAACUUAAAGUGUUGCACUAAUGGGGAAAAUAUGAAAUCGGAGAUUAUUUGCCUUUUGUUUCGUUUUCACACCAUGUGCACCUCUACAAAUUGGAGUUGUAUGGAAGGCUAGAGAAGAUACCUGCCCCUGAGGAUUUUCCACCAUAUCUCAUAGAGUUGACAUUGUAUGGUUCGCAUCUAAAGCAAGACGACCAACCAAUGUCAACACUAGAGAAGCUACCAAACUUGAAGAUUCUCGAAUUAGGAUGGGACGCAUUUGAAGGAAAGGAAAUGAUUUGUGCUGGAGGAGGUUUUGCUAAACUCCAAAAUUUGCAUCUUGCUCUGUUACGUAACUUGGAGGAUUUGAAGGUGGAGCAAGGAGCAUUCCCCUUCCUCAAAGUUUUAACUAUUUAUGAAUGCAAAAAAUUAAAGAUGCUUCCAGAUGGGCUGCAACACGUCACUAUCCUCCAAGAGCUCAAAAUAGGCCGCAUGCCGUGGGAAUUCGAAGCGAGAGUACAAAAAGACACGGGAAAGGAUUGGGAAAAGAUAAAGCACAUACCCUCUGUCACCAUUUUUUGAUUAAAUGGAAGAGCAGCAAGUCCUAUUAUUCCUACACAUUACAAAGAGUCCACAGGAGGCAGUGAUCAAAUAAGGACUACAACAACGGCUUGACAGAGCAAUGCAGAUGGGAAGCAUAUGGUCAGAUUCUCAAGAGUUAGCAAAAUGGUUGAAGGUGGCAAUGGCCAUUGGGAUUUUUAUAUCUCUUAAUUUGAUUUGACUUAUGCAAUCCAGUUAUUAAAAUAAAUUAUGUUUGUAAACAUUAUUAAACAUGAAAGAUUUUAUAUGCAUGGGUGUGAUGGAUAGAUUAGAAAAUAACAUGCUAUAAGAUGAGUAAGCAUUGUGGGAAUCUAUUUGAACCUGUUAUUCUCGGCUUCUCAAGGUUAUGACAUUUUUCAUAUUCAAGAAAAAUAAAUAAAUAAAUCUUGGCACUGA